rnacentral:rRNA from 1 species
GGACGAACGCUGGCGGCGUGCUUAACACAUGCAAGUCGAGCGGUAAGGCCCUUUCGGGGGUACACGAGCGGCGAACGGGUGAGUAACACGUGGGUGACCUGCCCUCAGCUCUGGGAUAAGCCUGGGAAACCGGGUCUAAUACUGGAUAUGACUCCAUGACGCAUGUUGUGGGGUGGAAAGCCUUGUGCGGCUGAGGAGUGGGCCCGCGGCCUAUCAGCUUGUUGGUGGGGUGANGGCCUACCAAGGCGACGACGGGUAGCCGGCCUGAGA